GAUGAACGCUGGCGGCGUGCCUAAUACAUGCAAGUCGAGCGAACAGAUGAGGAGCUUGCUCCUCUGACGUUAGCGGCGGACGGGUGAGUAACACGUGGAUAACCUACCUAUAAGACUGGGAUAACUUCGGGAAACCGGAGCUAAUACCGGAUAAUAUAUUGAACCGCAUGGUUCAAUAGUGAAAGACGGUUUUGCUGUCACUUAUAGAUGGAUCCGCGCCGCAUUAGCUAGUUGGUAAGGUAACGGCUUACCAAGGCAACGAUGCGUAGCCGACCUGAGAGGGUGAUCGGCCACACUGGAACUGAGACACGGUCCAGACUCCUACGGGAGGCAGCAGUAGGGAAUCUUCCGCAAUGGGCGAAAGCCUGACGGAGCAACGCCGCGUGAGUGAUGAAGGUCUUCGGAUCGUAAAACUCUGUUAUUAGGGAAGAACAAAUGUGUAAGUAACUAUGCAAGUCUUGACGGUACCUAAUCAGAAAGCCACGGCUAACUACGUG
rnacentral:rRNA from 1 species